UCUCCAGCUUAUGAAAUACUGGUGUUUCCAACAGCAACAGUGAUGCAGAGAUCCAAAGGUGGAGGAAGCAGCAAGGAGGAGCACAGGAAUCCCCUGUGGCAUCAGGAAAUGCCUGGACCGAUGGGUGCCAGGUCCCCUUCGGAGCCAUCCAGGCAUUGUUCCACAGUGAAUUAUCAUUUCUCCUUUUCCCAAAUCCUUCUCAGCUCUCUCCUACUCAAACCCACACCCCAGGGGCCAUCUGAGGUCUCAGCUGUGCUCAUCUCCCCAGCUCCUGUCCCAAGUUUGGGGUAGAUCCUUUGCAAACUCACCAGCCACCGGCCAAUGCAGGCUCACAAAUUCUCCCCUCGCUGCCCCACUGCUUCCCUGUGCCAAAGCCAAGUGCUGAGGCUGGAGAGUGUUUUCAGAUGUGGUACACAGUCACUCAAAACCUUCCUGGCCAGAGGACUCUGCAGCAGGAAUAAAAAAGGUGGAUGUGCUGGAAGCUCCAGCUUGGAGGGAGCCCAGGACACGUGUCCUUUGUGGAUGGAUCCGGCUGUGCCUGGGGCAGCUGAGAGCACACAGUGUUCAGCAGUGCUGUUCCCAAGGGCUCCAGGGGCUGGAACAUCUCAAGAGGAGCACUGCAGCCUCACCCUCAGGGUUUUCCUGGCAUUUGACCAAGUCCCACAAGUACAAGCUAUUCCCAACACAAGAGGCACACGCUCGGUACCGCUGGCUUCCCUCUGCCCUCCCACUCCUGCCGUGGUCUCCUCUGCUUCCCCAAACACAAUUCCUCCACAGCUGCCUCUGCUAAAGCAACAAUGGACCCAAGCCCUGAGCACCUGAGACCUGUGGCUUUUUACCUGGAGUGACCUUCCCUGACUCGUUGUUUACCUUGAGAGAAAGGGAACAUUUGCUGCCUAGUGGAUCUCAGCUACAGCUUUUCAGGCAGCGAUGAAAACACUCGAAGCCUAAGAGCAACAUUUGAAUUUAAAAAAUAAUAAUUACAGCGCCCAAGAGGCAGAAGUUGGACGAGGGCAAUGAACAAAGCAGGGGGUUGGAAGAAAACAAAGAAAGGCAUGAGAGGAAUCUGCGCUUUGAACAGAGAGUCCUGAAUAUCUUGCACUGGCUACUUCAAAUUGGGCACCCGAAAUUAAUAGAUUCUUUGACCUUUGCUUCUCUGUGCUCUGGUUCUUUGUUUGUAAAGCAGAAACUACAAUAGAGCCUCACCAAAGGAAAAAAAAAAAAUGUCAUCAGAGCAACUGCUCUGGCCAAAGCACUCAGAUGCUGCAGAGAUGAGGACGAAGAAGGAAAAAAAAAAACAAACCCUAACCCUGAAUGGCUUUUCAGCAAUAUCUUUCCUGAAACAGUUACAACUUUGCACCCACUGGAGUUGACGGGGGGAGAAGGAGUCUUACGCAUCACUUUUCGCUUGCUGGAGCAGAGACAGAAGUGCUGAGAAUCCCAUUCCUCAAAGUCAGACUGUGACGGUUUUGUCCUGAAUUGUGUUUGCAAGGAGCAAAAAGGAUCCAACAAAACCCAGCAGAAGAUUCAGGCUGUCUUCAGUGGGUGCACUGGACAAAACCUCGUGCUGAUCACUCCAGGGACACCCGCUCCUUCUGCUGGCUCUUCACCUGCCUGAGCUCUCCAGAAUGAUGUGGGAGGAGCUGCAGGGAGGCAGCUUGGACACAAAUUCAGGUGGAAAACAAGGACACUGAAGGUCUUCUCACUGGAUUGAAAUAGUUACUCUCAUGAGUGGUGUAAUUUAUCAUAAAUCAGAUAAAUAUGGGGGAGAAAAAAAAUCCAAGUAGUUCAUACUGGGCAAUGUUCAGUCCCAAAGUGUAACAAAGAAGCCACAAUGGACUUUUUCCUUGUUGGUUUGCACAGUAAGGAUGAGACAAUGUGCCCAUCCAACUGGGAACACUGAGGCAACCUACUUCUUGGUUAAGGGAAGUGGCACUGUAAAGUCCCUUUCUCAGCAGCCCUUAAAAACACUGUUAUAACCAGCCAGCUCCUCCUCGCUCCAGGAAUGCAUCUUCCUUGGUCCAAGCUUGGUUAGAGGUUAGGCUGGGAAAGCAGCAGCCUGCCUGGGAGCAAUCACUCUGUUCAGACACAUGCUAAUGAAUUUCCAUCAAAGGGGUCAGGUAUCAAAGUUCUUUUCUAUGCUGCUGGAGCAAACCUUCCUGUGACAAAUUCCUGCCCUUAUUCCAGCUCCGUAUCUGUUACAAGCGACUCCUGUGAGAACCAGAUCCUCCUCGAACCCACCAGCACAGGAACUACCCUCCUUGCUGGUCCAGCAUCCUUCCUCUCCUGCCCCCCACCCUUUUUUUUAGGUCUCCUUCUCCUCACCAGCCUUUCCUCGCGCUUGCCCAUUCCAUGAUUUCAUCCGAGGUGGGUGGUGAGCUCGCUCUCCCCCGCGCAGCCUCUUGCCAGCGGCUCCUGGGAUCUCUGCCAGCUCCUCUCCACCCACGGCCUCUCCUGACGAGCCGAACCGCGUGGCUCUGCCCGCGCCAAGGCAGCAUCUCACAUCUGCUGGGCUGGCUUGGCAAGGGGCAGGGGAGCCAAGGAGCACCUCAGUGAUUCCCCCUGCACCACUGCCUUCCAGGGGCUGGCAUCUCCACCCCUGCAUCCCACAGGACCCCCGGCUUCCCGCCCAGGACACGGCGAUGGGUCACUGAAGUGACUCUUGAACGCUGCAAACCCAAAUCUGAGUUUAGAAAACAGCUUUGCGAGUUGAAAACCAAAUGAAAACUGCCUUUUUUUAACCCUUUUUUCCUGAGUUGCUCCUACACAUAAAACCUCUGCGUGGAUUCAAGCAUUCCCAGCCUGGCUAAUGCAG